CCUACGGGAGGCUGCAGUGGGGAAUAUUGGACAAUGGGGGGAACCCUGAUCCAGCCAUGCCGCGUGUGUGAAGAAGGCCCUCGGGUUGUAAAGCACUUUCAGUGAGGAAGAACGCCUGUUGGUUAAUACCCAUCAGGAAAGACAUCACUCACAGAAGAAGCACCGGCUAACUCCGUGCCAGCAGCCGCGGUAAUACGGAGGGUGCGAGCGUUAAUCGGAAUUACUGGGCGUAAAGCGCGCGUAGGUGGCUUGAUAAGCCGGUUGUGAAAGCCCCGGGCUCAACCUGGGAACGGCAUCCGGAACUGUCAAGCUAGAGUGCAGGAGAGGAAGGUAGAAUUCCCGGUGUAGCGGUGAAAUGCGUAGAGAUCGGGAGGAAUACCAGUGGCGAAGGCGGCCUUCUGGACUGACACUGACACUGAGGUGCGAAAGCGUGGGUAGCAAACAGGAUUAGAUACCCCUGUAGUC
rnacentral:rRNA from 1 species